UGAGGAAUAUUGGUCAAUGGAGGCAACUCUGAACCAGCCAUGCCGCGUGCAGGAAGAAUGCCCUAUGGGUUGUAAACUGCUUUUAUUUAGGAAGAAUCCCCACUACGUGUAGUGGGUUGACGGUACUAAACGAAUAAGGACCGGCUAACUCCGUGCCAGCAGCCGCGGUAAUACGGAGGGUCCAAGCGUUAUCCGGAAUCAUUGGGUUUAAAGGGUCCGCAGGCGGACUAGUAAGUCAGUGGUGAAAUCUCUCAGCUUAACUGGGAAACUGCCAUUGAUACUGUUAGUCUUGAAUUCGGUCGAAGUGGGCGGAAUGUGUCAUGUAGCGGUGAAAUGCAUAGAUAUGACACAGAACACCGAUAGCGAAGGCAGCUCACUAGGCCUGAAUUGACGCUCAGGGACGAAAGCGUGGGGAGCGAACAGGAUUAGAUACCCUGGUAGUCCACGCCGUAAACGAUCAUUACUCGAUAUCAGCGAUAUACAGUUGGUGUCUAAGCGAAAGUGAUAAGUAAUGCACCUGGGGAGUACGAUCGCAAGGUUG
rnacentral:rRNA from 1 species